UAUAACCAAUCACCACGGAAUAAAAAUACGACCCACGAUAGGUAAAAUGAAACAUAACAGCCGGAAAUUAACCAUUCGGCAAUGAAUCAUCCCAUCAGGAAUAGCUCAUUACAUCAUCUAUAGUUACUUGGAUAACGACAGUAAUCAUAGAUAUCAGUCAUACAUCAACACCCAAUACAUGGCUGAAUGUUAGUACAUGAAGGAAUGAAACCAAUACAGAAUGUCGGAUCUGGUUUUGCGGUGAAUCAUAAUAACUAAACGAAUCGCAUGGCUUUAUGCCGACGAUGAAUCAUUCAAAUUUCUGCCCUAUCAACUGUCGACGGUAGGAUAGAGGCCUACCAUGGCGUUCACGGGUGACGGAGAAUUAGGGUUCGAUUCCGGAGAGGGAGCCUGAGAGACGGCU
rnacentral:rRNA from 1 species